UCUCUCGUAGGCUGGCCGGUCCUGGAGGAGAGGCUGUUCUGGCGGCGGGGCUGUCUUGGAGGCUAGGAGGUCUCGGAAACUGGGCUGUCCCGGAGGCGGGGCACAGGCUGGGGUGAGGCGGAGCCGACCCUGAGGCGGGCCCGGGGCGCGGCUACCGCUCCCUGAGCCACGCCCGUGGUCUCCCGUUCCAUCGGUGGACCCCACCUCGGGCCGUGCUGCGGGCUCUCGGGGCGCCUACCAGGUCGGCUCCAAGGCUACACAAGCAGCAAGAAGAAAAGGAAAAACUCUGUUUUAUUAAAGCUCCACUUGCCUAUCUACCUUGGUGGAGGGUCAAGAAAAGGUUUAUAACCUAUUUGCAGGUUUUAGGCUCCUGUUUGCAGCACAGAAACCACAGACAAUAGAAAUUCAGACUCAGUGGUGUGGCAGAAGAUAAAAUAAUUUGGGUUAUUUCUGUGAUAACAUGGGCAAUCUGGAAACUACUCCCAUUUGUGAGGGUAAAUCUCUAUUAUGAUACAUGGAAAAUAGGACAGAUGCUAAUUCAGGUAAGAAAAGGUCUUUGUAUUAUACAAAUAUUUACCUUCAGACAGAAAUGUUAAUGAAGAUGGAGAAGGAACAGUUACCAAGAAACUAGGGAUAGUAGGACACAAAAAACCUGGUAACCUGGUAGUGAGUAUGAACCAGUCUGGUGCCUUGCCUCCAGAGGAGCAGCAACUGAGCAGAGCUACUGGACAACCAGCCCUGCACUUCCCUAGAGCACAGACCAGCUCACUAUGCAGCCACCAAGAGAUAAGCACCGAAGGAGAACCUACCAGCCAUGGAUCCUCAGAAAACAGACCAGCUAAGUGCCCAGCCUUCAGGGGACAAGCAGCUGAGUGGGCAUACCAGCCACACAAACUUCUGCAGCCAAGGCCACUGAGGUACUUGCAGGCACCACUGACAUUAACUACAGCUAAAGAAGCUGCAUGGAGACUACACUACUGCAUCCACCCAGAACAAAAACAAAUGUACCUUACCCAACCAACAUGCUAGGACACAUCUGCAGGUGUAAGUCUUUUCCGCUGAAAGUUAUGCUACCAAGUUAGAAAAGGUGAUUAUUCCAUCAGAUGCACAGAUGCCAGUGCAGGGAUACAAGAAACAUAAAAAAGCAAGGGAACAUGACACCACCAAAGAAACACAAUAAUUCUCUAGUAACUGACCCCAAUAAAAAAAUAAAAAUUUAUGAAUUGCCUGAAAAGGAAUUCAAGAUAGUGAGCCUAAGGAAACUUGGUGAGACAUGAAAGAACACAAACGGAUCAUUCAACAAUCGGGAAAAACAGUUCAUGAUCUGAAUGAGAAAUUCAACAAAGAGAGAGAUAUCAUAAAAAAGAACAAAAUAGAAAUCUUGGGGCCAAGAAAUUCAAUGAAUGAAAUAAAAAAACGCAAUUGAGAGCUUCAACAGCAAAAUAGAUCAAACAGAAGAAUUUUUGAACUUGAAAACAGGCCUUUUGAAAUAGUCCAGUCAGAGGUAAAGAAAAAAAAAAAGGAAUGAAGAAGCCUAUGGCAUUUAUGGGACACCAUAAGUGAACAAAUGUUUGCAUUUUGGCAACUUAAGAAGAAGAGAUGAAGAAAGGCAAAGAAAGCUUAUUUAACAAAGUAAUAGUUGAAAACUUCCCAAGUCUUGGGGAGAUAUGGACAUCCAGAUCCAUGAAGUUCAAAGGAUCCCACAAAGAUUCAACUCAAAGAGGUCCUCUCUGAGGCAUAUAACCAAACUGUCAAAAGUCAAAGACAAAGAAAAAAAUACUAAAAGCAGCAUGAGAAAAACAUCAAGUCACAUAUAAGGGAAUUGCCAUUGGACUAUUAGCAGAUUUCCCAGCAGCAACCUUGCAGGCCAGGAGAGAAUGGGAUGAUAUAUUUAAAAUACUAGAAGAAAAAAAGCUGCUAGCCUAGAAUACUAUACCAGCAAAUCUUUGCUUCAGAAAUGAAGGAGAAAUAGUCUUUCCCAGAUCAGCAAAAGUUGAGGGAACUCAUUACCACUGGACCAGACUUACAAGAAAUGCUUGAGUAUUUCUAUUGGAAAAAAAAGUUUUCAUGAUAAUUGCUACCAUAAAAAAACAUGAAGUAUAAAUCUCACUGCUGGAGAUAAAUGCAUUAUCAAAUUCAUAAUGCUUCAUUACUGCAAUGGUGAUAUGUAAUGUUUCAAACCUCUAGUAUGAAGGUUAAAGGCCAAAACAGCUGGGUGCUGUGGCAUGUGCUUGUAGUCCCAGUUAUUUAGGAGGCUGAAAUGGAAGGCUCAUUUGAG
rnacentral:lncRNA from 1 species